AUUUCCACUGUUGUGUCAGAUUUCAUCUGCCAAGAGAUACGAUACACAGCUGUCAGUGAGAGAAAAUGCAACACCGCUAAGUCUUCUCCAAGAGCAUGUGACCAACUAACAACAGCUAACGCUGGGUUUGGCCAAAAGAAGACAAAAAAUGGAUUCUGAAGCCUAAGCAGGAUGUAACAGGGGAAACAAGGGGAAAGGCAGAGGAGCAGCUCACCAAACUGAACAUAAGCAAAAGCAACAUGACUCCACAGAGCAGAGAUGCACUGGCAAUGCAAUGAGGCCCCAACAUUUGAAGAGUUCCAGAACAGUCAGAGUACCAACAUCAUUGAGCUUUAAAAUUCUACAAACACAGAGAAAUUAAUCAGCAUGGCUAAGCUAAACCAGACAGAGUUAACUCACAUUGACUCUGAAAUGCAGACAUUGCCUAGAAAAGUAGGUAUCCAAAUCACAGAGACUUUCAGUUGCUCUCUGUUGUGACCUUCUGGAAUUUCUGAAACAGUUCAGACUGCCAACUGCAAUUCUUAAAUCCUUAAAAUAAAAUAACUAAAAAGCUGAA